GUGGUGAAGACCGCGCCGGUGUGCCCCGUGAGAAGGGCCGGUGCGGUGGUUGGGGUGAGGCUCGGUCCACACGUGGACGGAGCGUCACUUCGGCUCUGGCGCCCGGGAGUUGGCUCUCCCGGGCGCCCUCG
rnacentral:ncRNA from 1 species